ACUUGGGCAAGUUGUUCAUGCUUUGUAUAUCUAUUUCUUCGAUGGUAAAUGGGAAUACUAAUCCCCACCUUGAGAAUUACCAACAGGAUUGAAUCACAUAACAUAUUUCACUGAUUAAUCUGAUUAUUAACAGAUGUAAUGCUUUCUUUGUCCAGCAUUAUUCCACCACAUGCAGGAAUCAGUGAGAACUCUCUACCUUGACUAGAAUGAUGAAGUCAGAUGAAAAUGACAUGCUUUUGGUCUUUGGUGAGAUGGUUACUUCAAUCAAGACUAUUUUGAUUAAAGAUCACAGGAUUCCACUCAAAGUUGCUAUGGCAAAAAAAAGAAUAUUUAUCAUAAAGACACAGCAGUAACAUCAUUUGUUCAUUCAUUUGCUCAACAAGUCUUUAUUAUUUGUAUAUUAUGUUCCAUAAUCUGU
rnacentral:lncRNA from 1 species